rfam:Dipodomys ordii contig_33652, whole genome shotgun sequence.
ACCACUGAGCCACCUUCCCAGCCCUGGAAAAGUUUCUUAAGAAGUCAAACAUGGGGCUGGGAAGGUGGCUCAGUGGU